CUCAACACAUGCAAGUCGAGCGGAUGAGAAGAGCUUGCUCUUCGAUUCAGCGGCGGACGGGUGAGUAAUGCCUAGGAAUCUGCCUGGUAGUGGGGGACAACGUUUCGAAAGGAACGCUAAUACCGCAUACGUCCUACGGGAGAAAGCAGGGGACCUUCGGGCCUUGCGCUAUCAGAUGAGCCUAGGUCGGAUUAGCUAGUUGGUGGGGUAAUGGCUCACCAAGGCGACGAUCCGUAACUGGUCUGAGAGGAUGAUCAGUCACACUGGAACUGAGACACGGUCCAGACUCCUACGGGAGGCAGCAGUGGGGAAUAUUGGACAAUGGGCGAAAGCCUGAUCCAGCCAUGCCGCGUGUGUGAAGAAGGUCUUCGGAUUGUAAAGCACUUUAAGUUGGGAGGAAGGGCAGUAAGCGAAUACCUUGCUGUUUUGACGUUACCGACAGAAUAAGCACCGGCUAACUCUGUGCCAGCAGCG
rnacentral:rRNA from 1 species